GAUGAAGAACGCAGCGAAAUGCGAUAAGUAGUGUGAAUUGCAGAAUUCAGUGAAUCAUCGAAUCUUUGAACGCACAUUGCGCCCUUUGGUAUUCCUUAGGGCAUGCCUGUUCGAGCGUCAUUUGAAACCUCAAGCUCAGCUUGGUGUUGGGUGUCUGUCCCCGCCUCCGCGGGGACUCGCCUCAAAAUCAUUGGCGGCCGGUACGUUGUCUUCGAGCGCAGCAGAAACGCGAACUCGAGGCCCGGCGGAUCGGCGACCAGAAGUCUCUUCUUCACAGUUUGACCUCGGAUCAGGUAGGGAUACCCGCUGAACUUAAGCAUAUCAAUAAGCGGAGGA
rnacentral:misc_RNA from 1 species